UAAUAGCGUAUAUUAACGUUGUUGCAGUUAAAAAGCUCGUAGUUGGAUUUCUGGAGGGAGCGUCGGCCCGUAUUUACGAGUGCGUGACGUCUCUGUCCAUCCUUGCGGGAAGGCACGGCAUUGAUUUGUUGUGUCGGAUCGCAUCAUUUACUGUGAAAAAAUUAGAGUGUUCAAAGCAGGCUUUCGCUUGAAUACAUUAGCAUGGAAUAAUAAGAUAGGACUUUGGUGCUAUUUUGUUGGUUGAGCCUAAAGUAAUGAUUAAUAGGGAUAGUUGGGGGCACCUGUAUUGCGUUGUCAGAGGUGAAAUUCUUGGAUUUACGCAAGACAAACAGCUGCGAANGNGUCUGCNAAGGAUGUUUNCAUUA
rnacentral:rRNA from 1 species